rnacentral:rRNA from 1 species
GACGAACGCUGGCGGCGUGCUUAACACAUGCAAGUCGAACGGAAAGGCCCUGCUUUUGUGGGGUGCUCGAGUGGCGAACGGGUGAGUAACACGUGAGUAACCUGCCCUUGACUUUGGGAUAACUUCAGGAAACUGGGGCUAAUACCGGAUAGGAGCUCCUGCUGCAUGGUGGGGGUUGGAAAGUUUCGGCGGUUGGGGAUGGACGCGCGGCUUAUCAGCCUGUUGGUGGGGUAGUGGCUUACCAAGGCUUUGACGGGUAGCCGGCCUGAGAGGGUGACCGGCCACAUUGGGACUGAGAUACGGCCCAGACUCCUACGGGAGGCAGCAGUGGGGAAUAUUGCACAAUGGGCGGAAGCCUGAUGCAGCAACGCCGCGUGCGGGAUGACGGCCUUCGGGUUGUAAACCGCUUUCGCCUGUGACGAAGCGUGAGUGACGGUAAUGGGUAAAGAAGCACCGGCUAACUACGUG